AUGUUUCAGGACAAUGGCAGCAGUGCUGACGAUGGCAGCAGUGCUGAUGGGAGCAGUAGUGAUGAUGAAGCACUGAUGUUGUUGAUGCACCAAAACAGAAAGAGAAGAAUGCUGCAGAUGGCCUGCAUGGUUGGUAUGUACCAUUUGGACUCUUACUGUAACAAAGGACCUAGAAGAGUACCAAUACAGUCUGGGCAUGAUUGGGUUAUGACAACACUAGGCAACAAAACUUCCUGUUACAACAUGUUUAGAAUGCAUAGACCAGUCUUUGAGAAAUUGCAUAGUGCGCUUGUUGAUUCCUAUGGUUUGAAGUCCACCAAAAGAAUGUCAUCAGUUGAGUCUCUAGGCCUGUUUUUGUGGAUAGUUGGUUCCCCUCAAUCUCUAAGACAAGCAGAAAACAGAUUUGUUAGGUCAUUGGACACAAUUGUAAGAAAGUUUGAUAAGGUUUUAGCCUGCCUGAUCAAGCUCGCAAAAGACAUCAUCAAGCCAACAAAUCCUCAAUUCAAAACUGUGCAUUCAAAACUAAGAUCUAGAAAGUAUGCACCAUUUAUGGACAAUUGCAUUGGAGCAAUAGAUGGGACACACAUACAAGUCAUGGUACCAGUUGCCACUGCUGUCCAGCAUAGGAAUAGACAUAAGGAGAAGAGUCAGAAUGUGAUGUGUGUGUGUGACUUUAAUAUGAGAUUCACAUUUGUCCUAGCCGGUUGGCCAGGAUCGGUGCAUGACAUGAGGGUCUUCAAUGAUGCCCGAUCCAGAUUUGGUGACAAGUUUCCAAAACCUCCACCUGAAAAGUUCUAUCUUGUGGACUCAGGAUACCCAAAUAGACCUGGUUAUCUUGCACCAUACAAGGGGUUAACCUAUCAUUUCGAGGAGUACCGUGAUGGCACAAUGCCUAGAGGAAAAAAGGAGCACUUCAAUUUCAGCCAUUCUUCACUUAGAAAUGUCAUCGAGAGGUGUUUUGGAGUCUUGAAGAACAAGUGGAGGAUUUUGUUUCACUUACCAAGUUAUCCACAACAGAAACAAAGCAAAAUCAUUGUGGCCUGCAUUGCACUGCACAAUUUUAUUAGAGAAAGUCAACUAGCUGAUAUAGAUUUCGACAAGUGUGAUCAAGAUGAAAAUUAUGUACCAUUGCCUGUGCCAACGACCACUCCAACAAAUGAUUCAACCAAUGAGAUGGAUAGUGCUGCUAUGAAUCAAUUUAGAAAUUGGGUCGCUGAUGGGUUGUGGAGCUUGAAACAGCAAUAA
rnacentral:rRNA from 1 species